UACGUAGGGGGCAAGCGUUAUCCGGAUUUAUUGGGCGUAAAGAGCGUGUAGGCGGCCACACAGGUCAGCUGUGAAAAACCCGCAGCUCAACUGUGGGCUUGCAGCUGAUACGGGCAGGCUUGAGUUCGGUAGGGGAGACUGGAAUUCCUGGUGUAGCGGUGAAAUGCGCAGAUAUCAGGAGGGAACACCGGUGGCGAAGGCGGGUCUCUGGGCCGAUACUGACGCUGGAGGAGCGAAAGCCGUGGGGAGCGAACAGG
rnacentral:rRNA from 1 species